CAACUUUAGAAAACACACCUUCUCAGAUACCAGAUAGUCUGAUCUGUGGGUAAGAAAUAUCUGUGUGUCACGCGUUUGACUUAACUUUACUUUGUCCUCGUGUGAGUGCUGGCCUUGUCAUAUCAACAUCACUGAUCCAUAUAUAAAUCAAUGUAAUAGUAACACAACAUUCUUUUCAAACUUCAAUCAUUUAAGCACAGAUUAAUGAAAGCAGUUCAUUGUAUUAUAUUUAUUAUAAGUGACAAUAAACAAACGUUUAUUUAAUGAUUAUUUAACUUGUAAAUUUAAAAAGUUCACAUUAAAUUUAAGAGUUCAUUCUUUGAUUAAACAACUAAUCCGAGCUGCGAGUGUUCACUUAUUCAGAGGCAUGAGGAGUCCUGUAGAACGAUAAGGGAGGCUUGAAGCCUUGAGGAGGGGACAUGAUUGUUGACAAUACGUUAUCAUGUGUUCAGAGCUGCAGAGAGGCUCUGAACUGCAGCUGAUGGGAUGCAGAAUCCGGCAGAUUAAAGGAAACACAUGACGACUCCUGUCUCCAUGUCGACCAGAUACUGAAGGGUCAAACUGUACUUAAAAACUGACCAUUCCUGGACAUUACACCGGUGUGUUAAUAUUUGUUUAUAUAGCGCUUUACAUUACCCAGAGGGUGGCCAAAGUGCUUAGCAUGUACAAUGGUAUUAAGAACAAGUAAAACAUUUGAGAAACACUAUAAAAACAGCUAUCAAAAUUAAAGUUAUGUAACGCACCAAAGGUCAAAUUUUCAUCAACAUGGCCAGAAAGUUAUCUUUAAUUUGCAGACACAAACUGCUGUUUUCUGUUUGGCCUCCAAACCAAAGAGCUCUGCACCAGACCUUGUUACAGUACUAAGAAGACACAUCAGUCAAGGGAUCAUGCGGAGGAGACUUCUACAUCUUCACUCUGAAUAAAUUUCAACUUCCUUAAAGAGCAAGUAACGUCUAAAUUAACUUUUUUUUUGCUGAUGAACUGUAUAAAUGAGAGUCUAAUAGUGUUUUAAAUGUGUGUAUUCAUUAUUUUAGCAUUUUGGUGCAUUUUCUUUAAAAAUUAAAAAUUCUGCCUAAAUACCACAGUAUAGCUCCACCUUCAGCUUAAAACAUAGAAUUUGACUCAUUUUGAAUAAAUUUUAGCCAAUGGCUAAAGAGUAAGAUACUACGUAAACCAGUAGAGUACUACGUAGCAGCUCUCUGUCAAAGUUAUAAAAGGAUCGAGCGUCUCGGCCACGCCUUUUGGCGAGUUGGGAGUUGGAUUUGCAAGCGAGUGUAGGAGGUUAGCCGUAGUUCAGCAUUAGCGUAUAGCAUUAGCAUAUCCUAGUCUUUAGCAUAGCUUUUAGUGUUAUACAUACUUAUUUAGUGUUAGCUUGGCUGUUGGAUAUUGUAGUUUAGUUAGUGUUUGGCUGUUAGUGUAAUUAGGAAAGUAGUUCGGGUUUAGUGCUCCAUAUCGUGUAUGGUGAGAUGGUGUAGUGUAGUUUGGUUGCGGUAGCUCUGUGGGGUUGCACUCCUUUCCGCUGGACUCCCGCCUGGUGCUGUAGUUUGCAACCAGCAUUUUACCCGCGAUUCUGCACGUCUCCGUUUGAAGAGGGAGGCUGUGCCCACCGUGGCUCUUCCGCGAUUUAGAUGCAGCCCACCGACUCUGCUCCCCCACCACGGCGGGCUCCAGUCUGAGGUGAGUAAGCUAAAUAAAGUUUUAACAUCUUCUAAAGACAAUUCCCUACCUAAAUGCAAAGUCCGAGAGACGUGGUUCACUUCAUUUAGCUAGUCGGUAAAUCUGCAACAGUGGCUCUAACUAACAGCACUAGUUGACAGACAGCAUUACAGCGUGAAAUCCAGCUUGUGACCCAGUUCUGUGAGGAAUUCUGUUCAGGAGGUCGCAUUUCAGGCUCUCCACAUCAUAUGUGACUGACUUUUACGUUAUAACAACGAUCACACACUAGGAAUGUUAUAAAGUGCCUAUAUAGGACAGUUUCUUUUGUAUUUUAUCUGACUUUAUAAACUCCAACAACAAUGUGCUUCUAUUUUUUUUUUCAGGCUAAAUCUACCCAAGACGUUGGCUGUCAGACUGAUUUAGCGGCAAGAAUGCACUUGUCCAGGCUGAUGUGAAGCCUUACCUGUAGCAAAGCCAGCCAGAAUAGAGUUCACAGCCGCAGUGUGUCUGGUGACCCACGGGGACCAUGAUGAAAAUUCAUCUUCCAGAAGGUCCCAGAGCAGCGGCCACACCCCCUGAAAAGACCAAGAUGUAAGGUGUCUGCGGUUGAUUCCAGCUUCCACCUCAGUGACAGUGCAAGCUCAGUGAACUGUUCAAGGAGGCUACUGAUUCUGGCCCUGUGACACUUGGUGGUGACGUGUGAGCUGAUUCACCUGGACACUCAGCAAAAUAUGGACUCUACACCAUGAGGCAGGCACACGUUAAUACUUAUAAGAGCACAUAAGCAUGAGGAUGUCCUCACACACCUGUAACCUAUCAGCUCAUCUGGCAGAAUAGAGAGAGAAGAGACAACACCACAUCUCCUUUUCCUGGAAAGCCUUCAGCCAUCCUUUGAUGACUGAGAACCUC